ACAAUUUCAACAAAAACAAACAUCCAUUAUACCAUUGAUUGAACACAAAAUUAGCCUUCUAUAUAAGAAUUCAACCAAAAACUCCAAUUAAGAAAAUUAAUAAGAUUCGAGAAUUGGGUUCCAAAAAAAAAAUAAGAGACGAAGAAGAAGAACAACAACAAUGAAACAAUGUGGCAGUGGUCUGUAUUGAAAUCUCAGACGCAAUAUCAACCCAUAGCGCCGCUGCAUAAUCUCGUCUAUAAAUCAUAGUUGUUUAAUGAAAACAACUACAACGGUAACAAAAACAACUACGACGAAAACUAAUGUUAUCUUCCCGUCGGAAGAUACACAUUAAUGAAAACAACUACAAAGAUAUCGAAACUACAAAAAACAACAUCGAUUUCAGCAAAACGACUAUAAAUUUGAGCCAAUACAACUACAAAAAAUACGAUCUUCUCCAAUUCACCUUCAUUACCUACUCUUCAACACGGCACCGUUCUUCAUAAAUCAAUGUAUGUGAUUGAUUUCACCAAUUCAACUACGGAAAUACCACAAAAUUACCUACGAAAAUCACAAAUUCAACAGUGAAAAACAUCAAUGCAACUACGAAAAUCACCAAUUCAACUAUGAAAAUAUUAAACACAUAUAUUAGAAGAUUCAUAGAUCUGAGGAAAAAAAAAAGCAAUAAACUUAAAGCAUAGUUUUCAAGUCGGCAAAUCAUUAACAUAAUCAAAAGAACCCAUAACAAUCUCAACCCUAAAAUCUAAAAUUAGUCAGAUCUUGUAAUCUAAAAUAUUAUACCUAAUUUGAUCCAAUCAAACUAAAAAAAAUUGCAAUUUUUUUGGACUAACUAAAUCAUAUACACAACAGAUCAACAUAGUAUAUUAGCUUCAUAUUCCAAAUAAAUGUAACAAAAAAAAAACAAGGACACAAAUAGAUAAGGAAACAGACCUCUAAGCGGCGAAUCCGAUGAUCUUGGAAUCGAAAAGCUUCAAGAUGCCACCGGAAUUGGAGGAGAGCUCCUCGAUCUGGAUCUGUAGGUUGUGAUAGAGGACACGGGGCUCUCGUCUUCGCGGCUCUCCUCGUUCUGCUCGAUUGGUGAUGUUUUUGUAGGCGAAGAGGAGGUUGCGUUCCUCGGCGGGGAGAAGGUUGCGUUUCUCGGCGAAGUGAACGAUAUUAACAGGGAGAGAGG
rnacentral:lncRNA from 1 species